rnacentral:lncRNA from 1 species
AUAACCUUAUCCUGUCUACUCACCAGAAGAGCUCUCAAGACCAGAGAUGUUUCACAUUUUCAUCUUCUGCAAAAGUAGUGCUUGGUCAGCACUGCAUUACUGUUUCAGAGGGGAGAACUGAUUACUCUCACGCUAGUGUAGAGGAGCCCGUGGGUCGGUGAAUGGGCAGGAAUAGAACAAUCCUUGUGGUAUCACAGCAUAAGGUAAUGGAUCAGUGUGGAUGUACUGCUUUUCAAAACCCUCUCCAUUCUUAGCAUUUUAACUGAGGUCAAUUCCCUGUUGCUGUUUGGGAACUGCUGGAUAAUCAACAAAAUUAUAUCACCUAGUCCCUAUCUCCCUGAGUCGUAUCACCCUUUCCAGAUCCCAUUCUCUCUUCCUCCCAAUAAACCUCAAGGCAAUGGAAAGAAACUUUUUUUUCAUUCAAUAGUGUCACUUUUGUAACAUUUUGCAGCAGGCAAAAUAAGACGUUUGAGACUGGAAAUCUGCUUCUUGCCCUGGUGAUUUCUCUUUACCUCCUGAGCAAAGAUUUUUAAAGAUUUUAAAGGGUGGAUCAUGUUAUCUGUGCUUCUACGUCUAUGGCUCAUGCUUAGUGACUCUUGGACUGGUAUUUUCUGCAGACACUGGCUUGGAUCCCUGGUGGUCUGGUGAAAAUGGCAAGCAGAGCCACACAGGCUGCCCCCCAGCCUGGAAAAGACACGGGGGAAAAUGCUACUUCUUUGCUCAAGGACAAGAACUAAAAGACUGGAAUGCCUCCCGGAAAGAAUGUACUGAGAUGAAUUCAGACCUGGUGAUCAUUGACAACCAGGAUGAACUGGUGAGGUUAAAUUCAUGGGGCUGCUUCUAGGGCUGCUUGACCUGUAUGGCAGAGGGAUGAUGGAUUUACACUUGCAUCUUCUCACCUUAGAUGUCUUUGGGGCUCUGUCUGUAUGUUGGCAAAUGCCUUUGCACAGAUGUUUCCACAGGAAACAUCCAGAAAGCAGGGGGUUUUGCACUAAGUUUUCUGUG